ensembl:snRNA U6 U6 spliceosomal RNA
AUGCUCGCUUCAGCAGCACAUGUACUAAAAUUAGAAUCAUACAGAGAAGCAUGGCCCCUAUGCAAGGAUGACACGCAAAUUCAUGAAGCGUUCCAUAUUUCU